GUGAACCAAGCCAAAUCCUCCAGGAGAGGAGGAGACCAAAGAAUUUGAGAACCAACAGACAGCUGAAGGAAGUGGCAAUCCUGAAUCACCAGAAGAUCUGCGUUUAAAAGGUGAAUAUGAAUGGGCUUUUCUGAGGAGGGAAAGGCCAGUGACAAAGAAAGAAAGAGAAAGGGCAAUUUGCGCAGCCAAGACGUUAAAAACUAAAAAUCCUUAUUCAUGGUCGUCAUGACACCGUCCUAUCUGCGCAAGGGAAUGAAUGUUCCUCUUGCAUUCGCAAAGGGAUCAUUUCACCGAUGGAUUUCACUGUGUCAAACUUCAGCUGCCAAAUGGAAGAACAUGGUCUGCCCGGUUCUUUCUUCGCAGUAGUAUUAAAUCACUUCUUAGUGGUGGUUGGAAUGCAUUUGCUCGGGAAAACGUUCUUUUAGAGGGAGACUGUUGUGUCUUUGAGAUACUUCUUAACAAGAAAGAUAUUGAGAUGAAAGUACUAAUUUUCCGUGUUGUGGAAGAUUGGGUCCCACUUGUUGGAACUGUAACUACAAAGACAAGGAUUUCUACGAUAAUCAAAGAAAGUAAAGCCACUCAAGCAGCAAGAGAGUUCAAGUCUGAAUACCCUUUCUACACGGCUUAUGUACAUCAAAGCUAUACUCAGAGUUGUAUGAUGAUUAUAGAAGG